GCUUCGUUAGCUUAGUCGGUAGAGCGUGGUGCUAAUAACGCCAAGGUCACAGGUUCGAUCCCUGUACGAAGCA